rnacentral:rRNA from 1 species
UACGUAGGGGGCUAGCGUUGUCCGGAUUUAUUGGGCGUAAAGAGCGUGUAGGCGGCCAUGUAGGUCCGGUGUGAAAACUCGAGGCUUAACCUCGAGAUGUCAUCGGAAACCAUUUGGCUAGAGUCCGGAAGAGGAGAGUGGAAUUCCUGGUGUAGCGGUGAAAUGCGCAGAUAUCUGGAGGAACACCGGUGGCGAAGGCGGCGUUCUGGACUGCUACUGACACUGAGGAACGAAAGCCAGGGGAGCAAACGGG